UGGGGAAUAUUGCACAAUGUGGGAAACCCUGAUGCAGCGACGCCGCGUGAAGGAAGAAGUAUUUCGGUAUGUAAACUUCUAUCAGCAGGGAAGAAGAUGACGGUACCUGAGUAAGAAGCACCGGCUAAAUACGUGCCAGCAGCCGCGGUAAUACGUAUGGUGCAAGCGUUAUCCGGAUUUACUGGGUGUAAAGGGAGCGUAGACGGAUAGGCAAGUCUGGAGUGAAAACCCAGGGCUCAACUCUGGGACUGCUUUGGAAACUGCAGAUCUGGAGUGCCGGAGAGGUAAGCGGAAUUCCUAGUGUAGCGGUGAAAUGCGUAGAUAUUAGGAGGAACACCAGUGGCGAAGGCGGCUUACUGGACAGUGACUGACGUUGAGGCUCGAAAGCGUGGGGAGCAAACAGG
rnacentral:rRNA from 1 species